UACGGAGGGUGCAAGCGUUAUCCGGAUUCACUGGGUUUAAAGGGUGCGUAGGAGGGCAGGUAAGUCAGUGGUGAAAUCCCCGAGCUUAACUUGGGAACUGCCGUUGAUACUAUCUGUCUUGAAUAUUGUGGAGGUGAGCGGAAUAUGUCAUAUAGCGGUGAAAUGCUUAGAUAUGACAUAGAACACCAAUUGCGAAGGCAGCUCGCUACACAUAUAUUGACUCUGAGGCACGAAAGCGUGGGGAUCAAACAGG
rnacentral:rRNA from 1 species